AGUGAACGCUGGCGGUAGGCCUAACACAUGCAAGUCGAACGGCAGCACAGUAAGAGCUUGCUCUUACGGGUGGCGAGUGGCGGACGGGUGAGGAAUACAUCGGAAUCUACUUUUUCGUGGGGGAUAACGUAGGGAAACUUACGCUAAUACCGCAUACGACCUACGGGUGAAAGCAGGGGAUCUUCGGACCUUGCGCGAUUGAAUGAGCCGAUGUCGGAUUAGCUAGUUGGCGGGGUAAAGGCCCACCAAGGCGACGAUCCGUAGCUGGUCUGAGAGGAUGAUCAGCCACACUGGAACUGAGACACGGUCCAGACUCCUACGGGAGGCAGCAGUGGGGAAUAUUGGACAAUGGGCGCAAGCCUGAUCCAGCCAUACCGCGUGGGUGAAGAAGGCCUUCGGGUUGUAAAGCCCUUUUGUUGGGAAAGAAAAGCAGCAGGCUAAUACCCCGCUGUCCUGACGGUACCCAAAGAAUAAGCACCGGCUAACUUCGUG
rnacentral:rRNA from 1 species